UUAUCGAGUGGGGGUUCUCCGUUUUUACCAUCUUCGUCGUCGUCGGGAAAUUAAGGAGGAGGAUUUUCCGAUCGGAAGAGCGAGGAAAAUGACGAAAAUGUCGAAAGAGUUAUGGCCAAGGUUGAUCAAUCGAGACUGGGUUACAACAAGGAAUCUAAAAAUUAGGACUUCCAGGCUGGUGGGAAGCGCGGAUGCAGGGAAUAUCGUUUUAAUAUGCGGGCAACAGUCCAGACUUAGAUUCUUCAGAUUAUUGAAGCUGCUGCAGCAGAUACUCUCCAACAGUCGA